rnacentral:rRNA from 1 species
ACGGGUGAGUAACACGUGGGUAACCUGCCUGUAAGACUGGGAUGACUCCGGGGAACCGGAGCUAAUACCGGAUAGUUCCUUGAACCGCAUGGUUCAAGGAUGAAAGACGGUUUCGGCUGUCACUUACAGAUGGACCCGCGGCGCAUUAGCUAGUUGGUGGGGUAAUGGCUCACCAAGGCGACGAUGCGUAGCCGACCUGAGAGGGUGAUCGGCCACACUGGGACUGAGACACGGCCCAGACUCCUACGGGAGGCAGCAGUAGGGAAUCUUCCGCAAUGGACGAAAGUCUGACGGAGCAACGCCGCGUGAGUGAUGAAGGUUUUCGGAUCGUAAAGCUCUGUUGUUAGGGAAGAACAAGUGCGAGAGUAACUGCUCGCACCUUGACGGUACCUAACCAGAAAGCCACGGCUAACUACGUGCCAGCAGCCGCGGUAAUACGUAGGUGGCAAGCGUUGUCCGGAAUUAUUGGGCGUAAAGGGCUCGCAGGCGGUUUCUUAAGUCUGAUGUGAAAGCCCCCGGCUCAACCGGGGAGGGUCAUUGGAAACUGGGAAACUUGAGUGCAGAAGAGGAGAGUGGAAUUCCAC